CUACGGAGGGUGCAAGCGUUAUCCGGAUUCAUUGGGUUUAAAGGGUGCGCAGGCGGAAUGAUAAGUCAGUGGUGAAAUCCUACAGCUUAACUGUAGAACUGCCAUUGAUACUGUCAUUCUUGAGUACACUUGAAGUGGGCGGAACGUAUCAUGUAGCGGUGAAAUGCAUAGAUAUGAUACAGAACUCCGAUAGCGAAGGCAGCUCACUAAAUUGUAACUGACGCUCAGGCACGAAAGCGUGGGGAGCAAACAGGAUUAGAAACCCCAGUAGUCC
rnacentral:rRNA from 1 species